rnacentral:rRNA from 1 species
UACGAAGGGGGCUAGCGUUGCUCGGAAUGACUGGGCGUAAAGGGCGCGUAGGCGGUUUGUCCAGUCAGGUGUGAAAUCCCCGGGCUCAACCCGGGAACUGCGUCCGAUACUGGCAGGCUUGAAUCCGGGAGAGGGAUGCGGAAUUCCAGGUGUAGCGGUGAAAUGCGUAGAUAUCUGGAGGAACACCGGUGGCGAAGGCGGCAUCCUGGACCGGUAUUGACGCUGAGGCGCGAAAGCCAGGGGAGCAAACGGG